rnacentral:rRNA from 1 species
AUGUCCAUCAUUCAAAAACACUUUGCCGAGAUCGCCAAGCGAGGCCCACCCAGGGGCAAUGACAUAAAUUGGGAGGAUAUCCCCGCUGCCACUUGUAACCUCUCGGACCUUGGGGUUGUUUUUACCGAGGACGAAGUCAAGGCUGCCAUCUUCGAUCUUCCCAUUGACAAAGCGCCAGCGCCUGAUUGGUUCUAUGGGGCUUUCUUUAAGGAUUGUUGGUAUAUCAUCAAAGGGGACAUCAUGCUUGUUGUUAACUACUUCUCGAGCUUACAUACUUGCAACCUCCAUUGGCUCAACUCGGCAAAUAUUGUCCGCAUUCGAAAGAAGGAUGGGGCGGACUUCCAACCUAUUAGCCUCAUACAUGCCAUUACCAAGAAUAUCGCAAAAAUUAUUGCCACACAUCUCGCUCCACACAUGCCUACUCUUGUCUCCAAAGCCUAAAGUGCUUUUAUUAAGAAGAGAAGCAUCCACGAUAACUUCAUGUACGUACAAAAUUUUGCAAGACAUUUCCACCGCAAAAAAAUCUAUGUUGAUUUUCAAGAUCGACAUCAAGAAGCUUUUGACUCCGUGAGAUGGGAUUUUCUGACGGAGCUCUUGAGACACCAUGGCUUCCUGAGUUGCUUUAGAGAGUGGGUUUCGGCCCUCCUAUCCAUAACAUAUUCGCGAGUGUUGAUCAAUCGUGUGAUUGGAGACCCGUUGAAGCAUGGUCAUGAUCUUCGACAAGGGGGUCUGCUCUCCGCUCUCCUCUUUGUAUUGGCAAUCAACCCUUUGCAUCACAUCCAAAACUGGGCCACGACUCAAGGUCGGCUUCAUCGUCUCCAUGCGAGGACCCCAACAAUUCAUGCAUCUCUGUAUGCUGAUGAUGUUGCCAUGUUUGUGGCGCCCAUUAAGGUGGAUAUUCAAUUCCUUGCUGCAACUCCUUACUCCUUUGGUGAGGUGACUGUCCUUGUCACAAAUUGCUCCAAAAUCCUUGUGGCUCCCAUCCAAUGUGACAAUGUCAAUCUUGACUACAUCCUCCUCUCAUUCUUGGCCGUGCGAACAUCCUUUCCAAUGAGAUACUCCCCCCUUGUCUGUCAAGCGCCUUAA